CGCGUAGGCGGUUAGGUAAGUCAGAUGUGAAAUUUCGGGGCUCAACCCCGAAGCUGCAUUUGAAACUGCUUAGCUAGAGUACAGUUAGGGUAAACGGAAUUCCACGUGUAGCGGUGAAAUGCGUAGAUAUGUGGAAGAACACCGGUGGUGAAGACGGUUUACUGGGCUGUUUCUGACGCUGAGGCGCGAAAGCAUGGGUAGCAAACA
rnacentral:rRNA from 1 species